UCUUUAAAAGUGCUGAGUCAUUGAGUUCUUGUUUGCAGGUUGUGUAAAGUGAUGCUGGCAAAGAAGCAAAGGAACAACAACAAAAAGAUACAGGCACAAUAUCAGCCUCAUAGACACAACAGGGUGCUUGGCAAUGAGGUGGAAAGGGCAAAGAAUGAGAGAGCCUCUGCAAGUCAGAUAACAGCAGCCAUGGCUACAGAAGCACUUAUGUUCUGCCCAUGACACCUUUGGUGGAACUUAGGCAGCCAGCCACUUUUUGAUAAUGUUGUGUCUCCUUAUUCACAUCAUAAAUAAGGAUGAUAAUCAAACAGGACAAGCAUGGAGCAUCCUUUUCAAAGACAGUCACGGUAUAUACAGAGUAUUGGGAUCAGAUCCAGGAUCCAUAAUAGUUUCUCACCUUGAAUCAAGGAUUUAUAUGAUAUUCUUCUCAGAUUUACUUUGUGUUAAAU
rnacentral:lncRNA from 1 species